AGCAGUAAACUUCCAUUAAACGGCGUCUGAUACAUUGGAAUAGCGAAAGGGAAAACAACGGAGUCCAAUGAUGAUACAAACAUGCUCAAAUAAUGUGGAAAGCUUUGAAAUCUGUUCCGUGGAAAAUUCCAUGUGACGAAUCUGGGCCGUCCAACAUCUGCUGGAAUCUACGUGAAACGAUUUGCGUGCACGCGCAUAUCUCCAGAUAACAUGAUCCCCAGUUGAUCCAUAACACCCACCAAUGUCUGUGACUAAUACUUUGUCAAAAUAGAAGAUGUGAUAGUCUAUAAGCCCCAUAUCUGUUGAUUUUUGUUUUACCUUUGUCUCACACAAAAUGGUUACUGUCAAAAUAUCCUUUGAUCUUCUGGAGCUCAACCAUCCAACUACACUCUCAGCAGUUUAACAAAUGUGUGAGCAGCUUAGUUAAGAAUACUUAUGUCCUCACAUGUUUGUUUUCCAAAGAAUGCAUAUGUCUGCAAGAAGCUUGUGGAACCAUGACUUGUACAAAAACUGAGUCUUGAAGAAUCUUGAAAUACCAUUGUAUUGUCUCUCAGUUUUCUACGAAAUCCUGAAAACUGUUUACUUUUAAGGCGCACAUCAACCAACAUCACAGCUUGUGAAGCUUCUGAAGAUUGUGCUGAAAACAGCACAGUACUAAUGACAUGCAAGAAAUCUUACAUUAACUGUGAUUAUGUUCGUUAUUAUUCUUAUUACACUUAUUUUUUCCCUUCACUAUGAAUUUUGUUUUUGUCAGUGUUCUCAUGCUGAAUAUGAGAUACAUGAGCAAUGCUGCCCAAUGUGUGUCCCUGGAUACCAUGUUCAUUUGCACUGCACCGAUGACACCACCACAACUUGUGUUCCAUGCACUCCAUUAACUUUCAUUGAUGAAGCAAAUGGCCUCACAAGAUGCUUUCCCUGUACUGUAUGUGAUGCAUACCAAGGUUUAAGAGUGAAUAAAGUAUGCACUCGAUCAUCAGAUACUGUUUGUGGGCCACAGAAGGGAUUCUACUGUAUUUACAAAAAGAAAGGCAGCUGCAGAUUAGCUCUGCAACAUUCUGAAUGUAGCCCCGGACAAUAUAUCAAACAAGCAGGUACUGACUCCACAGAUACUGUAUGUGCUGACUGUACAGGUGACUCAUAUUCAAAUGGAUCUUUCUCAUCCUGUCUACCACAUACAAAAUGUGAGGCCCUGGGACUUGCUGAAACAAAUCCAGGAACACAUUCAUCAGACUCUGAAUGUAGAGAUCCCCCUGCUGUAGCAGUCAUUGUCUCUGUUCUUAUAGUUACUUUAAUAUUAAUUACAGUAGCAUGUGUUCUCAUAUUUAAACAUUCAGAAGAGAACACAAUCUUUUAGAUUGUUCAGUUCAUACAGGGAUACAGGAAACAGGAAAAGGAAAUGGUUUACAUGAAAAAGACAUUUCAAAAGUUGUUGGCGACAGGAUAAAUGAUUAAUUACUUGGAACAGAAAAACAAGUCCUGACAACCUGGGAAUGACUACAGUUUCUAAACUACUCACAUUUUUCACCACAUUCUUACAGUACCUUCAUGGUUUGCCACUGUUACUAGCAACUACAGCUUAGCGCUAAAUAUUGUUCAUGUCCAACUGAAGUUUGCAAAAGUGUCAGCUAUCAUAACACCCCCUAACUGCGCAAAUGAUGGCAUUCUUUCUGUAGUCUAUUUUAAAAGUUAGCUAGCCAGUCAAAACUAUACAGUUGUUGCAAAACUUCAGAUUCACAAUACAGCUAGUGUAAGUAGCUUACUGGAACUCUAACACUUUUAAAAAUGCUGGCAACCGCUCUUACAUGAAUAAUAAGGUGGAUAUGGUUUACAGCGUAUGAGAUCAUUUUUUAUCCUUAAGAAAAUUGUAAUUAUAGUUGAAUUUGUUUAAAGACAGAGCCACAAUUUGUUUAGUAAACAACCAUUUAAUAAAAAAAGAAAAAUGUACCAAACUGCUGUACUGAAGAUAUAACAAACUGUGACUUCAAAACUGAAGUAUGUACUGAGCUGUCAUUUUUGUGUUACUACUACAUUGUGUAUUUACCAGGGAUAGAUAGAUGUAGAGAGAUGCUUUUUGAGAAAUUAGAAGAUAUAGGUACAACAGAUGCCUAUGAAAUCUAUUAAAUAGUCAAAAUUACAAAGAGAAAUACUUAGUUCUCUAAUAAUGGUUUGGAAAACAAACAAACA